GACGAACGCUGGCGGCGUGCUUAACACAUGCAAGUCGAGCGGUAAGGCCCUUUCGGGGGUACACGAGCGGCGAACGGGUGAGUAACACGUGGGUGACCUGCCCUUAGCUCUGGGAUAAGCCUGGGAAACUGGGUCUAAUACCGGAUAUGACUCCAUAACGCAUGUUGUGGGGUGGAAAGCCUUGUGCGGCUGAGGAUGGGCCCGCGGCCCAUCAGCUUGUUGGUGGGGUGAUGGCCUACCAAGGCGACGACGGGUAGCCGGCCUGAGAGGGCGACCGGCCACACUGGGACUGAGAUACGGCCCAGACUCCUACGGGAGGCAGCAGUGGGGAAUCUUGCGCAAUGGGCGAAAGCCUGACGCAGCGACGUCGCGUGAGGGAUGACGGCCU
rnacentral:rRNA from 1 species